CGGCCUUGAUUUGUUUCCUUGUUAAGACCAGCAUCAAAUUUACAUUUAACAUAGCCCCGUGGAGGACGCAACUAAUGAUCCUCUAAAAAUGGUGCAGUAGUGAUACCAAGAAACUUUUAUUAUACUUUGAUCCUCUCUCUCUUUAAAUUAUGCUCUUUGUAAUCUAAACUAUUAAAACAGGAGUACAAAUAAAACUUAACUUUGAGUUUUCCUCAAUAAUUACCAAUCUAUGCUAUUGUCAUCACAACACAGUCAUUUUAACAGCUUUUGAUCACUCUUUUCUUUUGAUUCUCUCCCCUCUUCUAGAGAGAGAGAGGUUUCUCUCGAUAUUUCAUCGUUCUUAUCAAACUAUCAUCUUUCGGAAGCAUAAAUCUAUUUCCCUUUUGUUUUGUGUGUUAAAAUAAUUUUCGAUCAUCUAGAUCGAUUUUUUUUUCUUCGCUUAGCAAUACUUUGUGGUGUUUUCGACCUAAAUCUGAGCAAUUAUUCGUGUUAUAUUUUCUAUUCUCUGAUCUUGCGUCGAUGUAAUAAAGGUUCCGAUCUAUAAUCGGAAAGCAUGCCGUAGCCCUCUGUUGCUUCACUCUAUCCCGACCAACAUCUCUUCAACUAAAUAUUCUAUCUUUGUUUGGGUAACAUUGCAUCUGCUUUACCGCAGUCCUUAGUGGGCGGUGUAAGAUCUCUGGGUCAAAAUUAAGCCGGAGACGUGGAUGUGUUCCUUGGGAUAGCUGUUGAAGAUUGGAGCUGAAAGAGGUUAACGACUGAAGAGAUGAUAUGCUUGAAUUGGUAUUGGAGUUUAGAGAAGUGUUCGUGAGGUUCCAAAUCUCUGUUACGGUGAAGAAAGAGUAAAACCGAAAUCGGAAAAUUUCAUGGUGGCGAAGAGCUCCGGCGGCCAUGAUGUUUUCAGCAUGAAGGACACGUUGCUUGAUACACUUAUCAGAAACAGCUUUUGUGUUAUGGGCUUUGUAAUUUGUUUUUUUUUUACUUGGAUCUCAUGUAGUCCAUUACCAAUUCUAAUGAAAAAUAUUGCCGACAAAGAAGA
rnacentral:lncRNA from 1 species